rnacentral:rRNA from 1 species
UACGUAGGUGGCAAGCGUUGUCCGGAUUUACUGGGCGUAAAGAGCGCGCAGGCGGUCGUUCAAGUCGCGUGUGAAAUCUCCCGGCUUAACUGGGAGGGGUCAUGCGAUACUGGCGGGCUCGAGGCCGGUAGGGGGAAGCGGAAUUCCCGGUGUAGUGGUGGAAUGCGUAGAUAUCGGGAGGAACACCAGUGGCGAAGGCGGCUUCCUGGACCGGUUCUGACACUGAGGAGCGAAAGCGUGGGGAGCGAUCCGG